GGAGCAAACAGGAUUAGAUACCCUGGUAGUCCACGCCCUAAACGAUGAUCAUUAGGUGAUGGGGAACUCAUCGGCGCAGCUAACGCAUUAAAUGAUCCGCCUGAGUAGUACGUUCGCAAGAAUAAAACUUAAAGGAAUUGACGGGGAUCCGCACAAGCGGUGGAGCAUGUGGUUUAAUUUGAAGAUACUGUGGUAGAACCUUA
rnacentral:rRNA from 1 species